ensembl:miRNA
UCAGCUGUGUGUCCCCUACCCUCGCUCUAACACCACAGUGUGGUUUGGACGUGGCCACAGUGCCGUACAAACCACAGUGUGCUGCUGGGGCGGGAGCAGGACUGGCUGGGAUGGAUUGAGAGGAAAAUA